rnacentral:rRNA from 1 species
UGACGGUACCACUUGAAUAAGCUCCGGCUAACUACGUGCCAGCAGCCGCGGUAAUACGUAGGGAGCAAGCGUUAUCCGGAUUUACUGGGUGUAAAGGGCGUGUAGGCGGGACUACAAGUCAGAUGUGAAAGCACGGGGCUCAACUCCGUGUCUGCAUUUGAAACUGCAGUUCUUGAGUGCUGGAGAGGCUAACGGAAUUCCUAGUGUAGCGGUGAAAUGCGUAGAUAUUAGGAGGAACACCAGUGGCGAAGGCGGUUAGCUGGACAGUAACUGACGCUGAGGCGCGAAAGCGCGGGUAGCAAACAGGAUUAGAUACCCUG